rnacentral:rRNA from 1 species
UACGGGGGGAGCAAGCGUUGUUCGGAUUUACUGGGCGUAAAGGGCGCGUAGGCGGCCACCGCAAGUCAGUUGUGAAAUCUCUGGGCUUAACCCAGAACGGUCAGCUGAUACUGCGGGGCUAGAGUGCAGAAGGGGCAACUGGAAUUCUCGGUGUAGCGGUGAAAUGCGUAGAUAUCGAGAGGAACACCUGCGGCGAAGGCGGGUAGCUGGGCCGACACUGACGCUGAGGCGCGAAAGCCAGGGGAGCGAACGGG